rnacentral:rRNA from 1 species
AGAGUUUGAUCCUGGCUCAGGAUGAACGCUGGCGGCGUGCUUAACACAUGCAAGUCGAACGAUGAAGCCCAGCUUGCUGGGUGGAUUAGUGGCGAACGGGUGAGUAACACGUGAGCAACCUGCCCCUGACUCUGGGAUAAGCGCCGGAAACGGCGUCUAAUACUGGAUACGAACAAGAAUCGCAUGGUUACUUGUUGGAAAGAUUUUUCGGUUGGGGAUGGGCUCGCGGCCUAUCAGCUUGUUGGUGAGGUAAUGGCUCACCAAGGCGUCGACGGGUAGCCGGCCUGAGAGGGUGACCGGCCACACUGGGACUGAGACACGGCCCAGACUCCUACGGGAGGCAGCAGUGGGGAAUAUUGCACAAUGGGCGCAAGCCUGAUGCAGCAACGCCGCGUGAGGGAUGACGGCCUUCGGGUUGUAAACCUCUUUUAGCAGGGAAGAAGCGAGAGUGACGGUACCUGCAGAAAAAGCACCGGCUAACUACGUGCCAGCAGCCGCGGUAAUACGUAGGGUGCAAGCGUUAUCCGGAAUUAUUGGGCGUAAAGAGCUCGUAGGCGGUUUGUCGCGUCUGCUGUGAAAUCUGGGGGCUCAACCCCCAGCCUGCAGUGGGUACGGGCAGACUAGAGUGCGGUAGGGGAGAUUGGAAUUCCUGGUGUAGCGGUGGAAUGCGCAGAUAUCAGGAGGAACACCGAUGGCGAAGGCAGAUCUCUGGGCCGUAACUGACGCUGAGGAGCGAAAGGGUGGGGAGCAAACAGGCUUAGAUACCCUGGUAGUCCACCCCGUAAACGUUGGGAACUAGUUGUGGGGUCCAUUCCACGGAUUCCGUGACGCAGCUAACGCAUUAAGUUCCCCGCCUGGGGAGUACGGCCGCAAGGCUAAAACUCAAAGGAAUUGACGGGGACCCGCACAAGCGGCGGAGCAUGCGGAUUAAUUCGAUGCAACGCGAAGAACCUUACCAAGGCUUGACAUAUACGAGAACGGGCCAGAAAUGGUCAACUCUUUGGACACUCGUAAACAGGUGGUGCAUGGUUGUCGUCAGCUCGUGUCGUGAGAUGUUGGGUUAAGUCCCGCAACGAGCGCAACCCUCGUUCUAUGUUGCCAGCACGUAAUGGUGGGAACUCAUGGGAUACUGCCGGGGUCAACUCGGAGGAAGGUGGGGAUGACGUCAAGUCAUCAUGCCCCUUAUGUCUUGGGCUUCACGCAUGCUACAAUGGCCGGUACAAUGGGCUGCAAUACCGUGAGGUGGAGCGAAUCCCAAAAAGCCGGUCCCAGUUCGGAUUGAGGUCUGCAACUCGACCUCAUGAAGUCGGAGUCGCUAGUAAUCGCAGAUCAGCAACGCUGCGGUGAAUACGUUCCCGGGUCUUGUACACACCGCCCGUCAAGUCAUGAAAGUCGGUAACACCUGAAGCCGGUGGCCUAACCCCUUGUGGGAGGGAGCUGUCGAAGGUGGGAUCGGUAAUUAGGACUAAGUCGUAACAAGGUAGCCGU